AGCGAACGCUGGCGGCAGGCCUAACACAUGCAAGUCGAACGAAGUCUUCGGACUUAGUGGCGGACGGGUGAGUAACACGUGGGAACGUACCUUUUGGUUCAGAACAACUCAGGGAAACUUGAGCUAAUACCGGAUGAGCCCUUAGGGGGAAAGAUUUAUCGCCGAAAGAGCGGCCCGCGUUAGAUUAGCUAGUUGGUGAGGUGAAGGCUCACCAAGGCUACGAUCUAUAGCUGGUCUGAGAGGAUGAUCAGCCACACUGGGACUGAGACACGGCCCAGACUCCUACGGGAGGCAGCAGUGGGGAAUCUUGCGCAAUGGGCGAAAGCCUGACGCAGCCAUGCCGCGUGAAUGAUGAAGGUCUUAGGAUUGUAAAAUUCUUUUACCAGGGACGAUAAUGACGGUACCUGGAGAAAAAGCCCCGGCUAACUUCGUGCCAGCAGCCGCAGUAACAC
rnacentral:rRNA from 1 species